UGUAAAGUACGAUGAUUACAAACGAUACUAUUGGCAACAGCGUAAAGAGUGAAUUUUCCUAGCAGACGAAUAUCUAGAUAGCUUUUACUGUUUUAGGAAUUCCUAAAUAAAGGAAAAAAAGGUUCAUUUUCUAUCGGUGAAAAAUGGCAAAUCUGGUAGAACCCAUUCUUCGGACCCGUCUUACUGAUAUGACAGCCCCUGUGUUCUCUUUUCAAAUGCAUCCAUGCAAAGACUUUGAAAUGAGGUAUAUUUCCUGCAUGGAAGCUUACGGAAAAUCUUUGGGAAAGGAAAAGUGUAUGGACUUGAAGUUGGAUUUAAAUGAAUGUGUUUUUAGCGACAAACAGUUGUUCCGAGUUCUAGCCAUGCAAAAGGAACGUGAACGUCAAUAUAAGGCUGGCGAGCGUACAUCAGAAAAUUACUAUGGACCGAUCCCUAAACCUGAUAGCUACUAAAACAGUUAAAUGAAUAGAAAAAAAAAGGAUGAUUCCUGUUUAGAAAUUUUCUAGUACCAGGUUUUGUACAGGUGUGGGAGUACAAUUUAUUCAAAUCA